rnacentral:rRNA from 1 species
GAUUAACGCUGGCGGCGUGCCUUAUGCAUGCAAGUCGAACGGUUCCGAUUUAUCGGGAUAGUGGCAAACGGGUGAGUAACACGUAAGUAACCUGCCCCUAAGUAGAGGAUAACUCUAAGAAAUUAGAGCUAAUACUUUAUGUGGUGAUGGAGGUAAGGCUACAUCACUAAAGCCUUAGGGUGCUUAGGGAGGGGCUUGCGUCCGAUUAGCUAGUUGGUAGGGUAAUGGCUUACCAAGGCAGUGAUCGGUAGCUGGUCUGAGAGGGCGAUCAGCCACACUGGGACUGAGAUACGGCCCAGACUCCUACGGGAGGCAGCAGCAAGGAAUUUUGUGCAAUGGGCGAAAGCCUGACACAGCGACGCCGCGUGAGGGAAGAAGGCCUUCGGGUUGUAAACCUCUUUUCUCAGGGAAGAAUAAUGACGGUACCGUGAGGAAUAAGUCUCGCUAACUA